rnacentral:misc_RNA from 1 species
GAUGAAGAACGUAGCGAAAUGCGAUAAGUAAUGUGAAUUGCAGAAUUCAGUGAAUCAUCGAAUCUUUGAACGCACCUUGCGCUCCUUGGUAUUCCGAGGAGCAUGCCUGUUUGAGUGUCAUUAAAUUCUCAAUCAUUAUCAACUUUUGCUGAUAAUGGCUUGGAUGUGGGGGUCUAUUUUGCUGGCUUCUCAGAUAGUCAGCUCCCCUUAAAUGCAUUAGCCGGUGCCCCGCGUGGACUGUCUAUUGGUGUGAUAAUUAUCUACGCUAUAGACAUCUGCAAUCAUAUGGGUUUGCGCUGCUUCUAACAGUCUGUUGAUUCAGACAAUACAUGACAAUUUGACCUCAAAUCAGGUAGGACUACCCGCUGAACUUAAGCAUAUCAAUAAGCGGAGGA